ACUGGGCACAGUGGUGCGUUCCUGUAAUCCUAGCUACUCUGGAGGCUGAGGCGGGAGGAUUGAAAGUUCAAGGCUAAUCCGAGCAACUUAGACCCUGCCUCAA
rnacentral:sRNA from 1 species